rnacentral:rRNA from 1 species
UACGUAGGGGGCUAGCGUUGUCCGGAAUCAUUGGGCGUAAAGCGCGCGUAGGCGGCCCUGUUAGUCCGCUGUAAAAGUCAAAGGCUCAACCUUUGAAUGCCGGUGGAUACUGCAGGGCUAGAGUCCGGAAGAGGCGAGUGGAAUUCCUGGUGUAGCGGUGAAAUGCGCAGAUAUCAGGAAGAACACCCGUGGCUAAGGCGGCUCUCUAGUACGGUACUGGACGCUGAGACGCGAAAGCGUGGGGAGCGAACAGG